ACCAGGAUGGCUGAGUGGUUAAGCCAUUGGACUUAAGAUCCAAUGGAUGUAUAUCCACGUGGGUUUGAACCCCACUCCUGGUA
rfam:Xenopus tropicalis strain Nigerian Chr03_contig_3513, whole genome shotgun sequence.